AUUAACUAAUUUCCAAAUUUCGUUUUGGUCUGAACCUUGAACAAAUUUCGUGAUUUGGGGAGUUCAAACUUAGGCCUUAGUUAUGGGCUUGGGUUUAAACUAAAUAAAGGUGAAACAAUAACUAGGGAGUGCAGCUAGAUUUUUAUUUUGUUACUCCAAAAUCUUCUUGUUCGUUUUUAUUGCUUCUCUACUCAACGCUUCACUAUGAGCAGAUCAGGGCAGCCACCAGAUUUGAAGAAUUAAACCUAAUGCAAACAGGAUGAUUGUUGGUACCCUCAGGGGUUUUGACCAGUUCAUAAACUUAGUUGUUGAUGUUGAAGUCAACGGCAAUGAAAAUAACGAAAUAGGAAUGGUGGUAAUUAGAGGAAACAGUGUGGUUACUGUUGAAGCACUUGAGCCUGUGAACAGGGGCUGACUUCUGUUUUAUUGUAAUAUUUCUCAUUAAUUGCAAUGUUUGAAAUGGUGUGUAUUUUGAACAUUGUAGAUGGCUUACUUCUGAGACUAACAUGGAAGUGUGGAUCUUAAGGUCAUUUGGCCAUUACUUUGGAGUUCAUUUCUUUUCUCAGCUGAUUUGUUAGUGUAGCGCACUGUGCAUACCACUAUGAUUUUUUAAUGGGAU